rnacentral:rRNA from 1 species
ACGCUGGUGGCGUGUCUUAGUCAUGCAAGUCGAACGCGAAAGUACCCUUCGGGGUGCGAGUAGAGUGGCGAACGGGUGAGUAACACGUGGGUAACCUGCCUCUGAGUGGGGGACAACCCCUCUAACGAGGGGCUAAUACCGCAUAAGGCAGCGCCUCUUAUGGAGGUGCUAUGAAAGGUAGCCUCUGCUUGCAAGCUGCCGCUUGGAGAGGGGCCCGCGGUCCAUUAGCUUGUUGGUGAGGUAAUGGCUCACCAAGGCAACGAUGGAUAGCCGGCCUGAGAGGGUGAUCGGCCACACUGGAACUGAGACAAGGUCCAGUCCCCUACGGGGGCCAGCAGUCUAGAAAUUUGGGCAAUGGGCGAAAGCCUGACCCAGCGACGCCACGUGGAGGAUGAAGCCCCUAGGGGUGUAAACUCCUGUCAGGGGGGAAGAAAGCGAUGGGGGUAAUACCCUGGUCGUCUGACGGUACCUCCAGAGGAAGCUCCGGCUAACUCUGUGCCAGCAGCCGCGGUAAUACAGAGGGAGCAAGCGUUGUUCGGAUUUACUGGGCGUAAAGGGCGCGUAGGCGGGUAGAUUAGUCGAGCGUGAAAACUGUCGGCUCAACCAACAGAUUGCGUUCGAAACUGUCUGUCUUGAGUCCAGGAGAGGAGAGCGGAAUCGACAGUGUAGCGGUGAAAUGCGUAGAUAUUGUCGAGAACACCGGUGGCGAAGGCGGCUCUCUGGCCUGGUACUGACGCUGAGGCGCGAAAGCUAGGGGAGCAAACAGGAUUAGAUACCCUGGUAGUCCUAGCCGUAAACGAUGGGCACUAGGUGUUGGAGGUAUUGACCCCUUCAGUGCCGCAGCUAACGCAUUAAGUGCCCCGCCUGGGGAGUACGGUCGCAAG